GUAAAAGAGAAAUAGAAAAAUUACUCUCCAUUUCUUCACAACAUUACAACAGACACGAACACUAUGUUACCUAGAGAUUGGAGGCACCAUGAAAUUCAACCACUUGGUUCGGAACCGGUUCAGGUUCAUGUUCCCAAAACGGAUCCAGAUCUCCCCAACAUUCCACUUUUGAUUUCGAUUACGACUUUUUUCGCGAUCAGUGAUAACAAAAACGCAGCGUUUAGGAGGUUUCGGCGUUGUCAUUGACGAUAUAUUUGUGGAAACGCCAAAUCGAAUGUCGGCAACGGCGUUUGAAUUGAUGGUUUGAAUAAAUUCGUUUCAACUUGUUCGUGAUCGCGGGUUUAUGUAGAUGAUAUAUAUUCGGUGAAAAAAUCGCCUGAUUUUGAUGGAAGCAGCGUUUCCAAUAUUACACGAUCUGAAUCCGUCUUCCUCUAAGUUAACAUUGAUAAGGUUUGAGUCCUCUUUGGUCUUCGAACGUGGAGGAGGAGGACUCAACGUGAUGCUGGCUUUAAAAAAUGCCGCCAAUUAAAAAAUGCCUUGUUAGGAAAGGGUUAUUUAUGAUCGAAGGAAAUGACUUAAAUGUAGUUUGAGUGGUGUGUGAUGGUGUGAUCAUUGUGAAAACUGUAUACUCUCAAAAAUACACUAAGUAAUGAUGUUGCCAUGACUUCUCCUUUGAUUUUGUCAGGCAUAUGGAAAAGACAUGAUUAAUCUCUCAGGUAUAGUAUCCUGUUGUCUCAUUCUGUGUUUGAAUAGUUUGUCUAGAGAUAUGUGUGUCUGCAUCCUCCUUUUUUCUCUCUUUGACAUAUUUGUAUCUGAUAUUAUUUAAUUUCAAGUGGUCUAGUUUAGUUAAACAAUUUAUACUUGGUAAGUUCUGUUCUGCUAAGCCCCAGUACCAUGUGUUCCCUCUUUAGGUAGUUUGCACCUUACUGCUAAGCAAAAGUUAUUAUUUUUCUAAACAGAGAAGGACUAAUUUUCCCAUUAGCAAGAAUCAAGCCUAAGAGGCCAUUUAGUUAUCUAGUGGAAAUUAGCUUUAGUAAUGUCACGCUCAAAACAUUAGCUUUAGUAAUAUGUCCAUCUAGUUAGCUAAUGGGAAUUAGCUUUAGUAAUGUUCCCAGUUUGAUUAGAAUUAGGAGUCUUAUAUUGGUAUAACUAAGGGUUAGUGCUUUGUUUUUUGUAUUGUCCAACAAUUUGAGAUGUUCUGUUCAUUCUCUUCUCUCUUUAUCUUAAACCCUUUCAGAAAACCCGCCUGGAUGUACAUGUCAAUAUCAAAAUCUUCAAUAUACCCCUCUUUUCGAGUGAAAUGGCAAAUUGAUUUACGAAAUUGUAAGCGUCAGUCAAAUUAGUCUCUAAAUUUUGCAAAUUGACAAAUACAUCCCUGAAAUUGUAAAAUAUCAAUCAAAAUAGUCCCUCUGGAAAUUUUUGCCAUUAGAUAUUUUGAUGUGACGCUAUAGUUAAAUAUGUGGCUUAUCCAUGUUGACUCCACAUCAAUAUCUUUCCGAGGACAAAUUUGUCGGUAAAAUUUUGUCAUCUCAUAGACAAAUUUGUGAGUAAUUAUAAUUAUGCAUAGACUAAUUAUUUCAUUAAAGAUUUAAAUUUUGUAGAAAAAUUAGUCAACGUGGUUACAUUGAUAUGAGAUCAACGUGAAGGGGUUAAAUAUUAAUUAACAUGUCACAUCAUAGCCUCAAAUUAUAAAUGUUAAAAUAUGAACUAUUUUAAUUACUAUUUUACAAUUCUAGGGAUUCAUUUGCGAAUUCGCAAAAUUCAAUGAUUAAUUUGGCUGACGUUUACAAUUUGAAUGACUAAUUUGCCUAUUUACUCCCUCUUUUCAUAUCAACUUCAACAAACCCCUUUUUUAUGGUAAACCAACCUGAAGUUACAGUAUUUACUUUUGACACUUAAAAUCUUGAGUUAUUAUUAGAAUCUUCAACUAACCUUAUAUCUUUGUUAUUAGCUGCCAUGUUUUUUGUGUUUUAGCCUGUUAUUGAAGAUCGUUAACAUAGACCCUCUGUAAAAAAAUCUGAUUUUUUUAUUUAUUAACUGACUAAGAAAGAUUGUGUACUUAUAGAGACCUAGGGAUUGGAAUAGUAGUAUAUAGCCCUCUUGUUUGGGAUCGCAAUUCCCUGCAGUAGCGAAAGCACAUAGUUUCACAAAGUAGCUAAUGUCUUUAUUUAUAUUUAGGAAGAAUACUUGUGUGUUCAACAUUUGGAUGAUUUUUAAUGGUAAUUUCCUUUAGCUCAGUCAAACAUAUUAUCAAUAAGCUGUUAAUUGCAUAUAUAGGUAAAUAGAACUAUAGAAGGCAUUUUUCCAUUGUCCUAGAGUAUAUAUAAUAUGUACUAUUUAAUUGUAAUAAGUACUACAGAUAUGAAAACCUAGGAUUCUUGUACGAGAGUAAUUUGCAACUUGUAUGACCUUCACAUGGCUGCUAUUGUCGCGUGAAUUGAAUGGACUGCACAACAUUGUGGUAGGCCCUGACCAAUUUUAGAUGAAGUUUAUUCAUUUUCAAUCUAAAUUAUCGGCAUACAUUUAUCCUAUAUAAUUUCUUGCAUAAAAUUUAGAUGUUUCUUCUUCCACCUCCGAUGUUCUCAAAUACAGAAAAGUAUUCGUUUGACUUGGUUAAUCUGGCCAUGUAAAAUAUACCUCCAUAUUAGUCGAUCCGAACAAAAUUUGAGGGUUUUUGAGAAAAUUUAGAGGUGAAAAAAAAGCUUUUUAAAACUUUGGGACUACAAACUUCAAGGAAAAAGUACAGUACUCCUGUAGAUUACACUCAGUCCGGAAAGGUGCAUUUGUAUGGUUGUUUUUGUUAAAAUUAAAAAGGAAGAUGAGUGAAAUAGAGAGCACUUAAAUAUCAUAACAAGAGUAGAUACUCCAGUAUGUAUCUUAAUUCAUGUCAUUUUUCUCAAUCAUCUUUACAUUUUCUUUUCUUUUCUUUUUCACCACCAUCACAGUCACAUAGGGGUGUAAGAGAGAAUCAUACGUUACCUACUAACCAAUUUACUAAAUAAGAUUUUAGGGUUGAAUAAGAUUUUAGUUCUUAUGUCCUUAUUAAAAACAUUCAACUUUAGUCCCCUAAA